rnacentral:antisense_RNA from 1 species
CUUCAGCGAGCCGAGCCUGAGCGGUUCGACCCGGUCCCGGCCGUAGGUGGCCAGCAGGGCCUGCGCCUC